rnacentral:rRNA from 1 species
AUUGAACGCUGGCGGCAAGCCUAACACAUGCAAGUCGAACGAGUGGCGGACGGGUGAGUAAUGUCUGGGAAACUGCCUGAUGGAGGGGGAUAACUACUGGAAACGGUAGCUAAUACCGCAUACCAUCGGAUGUGCCCAUAUGGGAUUAGCUCGUAGUUGGGGUAACGGGUCACCUAGGCGACGAUCCCUAGCUGGUCUGCGAGGAGGACCAGCCACACUGGAACUGAGACACGGUCCAGACUCCUACGGGAGGAAGCAGUGGGGAAUAUUGCACAAUGGGGGCAAGCCUGAUGCAGCCAUGCCGCGUGUAUGAAGAAGGCCUUCGGGUGGUAAAGUACUUUCAGCGGGGAGGCGUUACCCGCAGAAGAAGCACCGGCUAACUCCGUGCCAGCAGCCGCGGUAAUAC